rnacentral:rRNA from 1 species
GGCUCAGAAUGAACGCUGGCGGCGUGCUUUACACAUGCAAGUCGAGCGAGGCGGCCCGCAAGGGCCAGUCGAGCGGCGAACGGGUGAGUAACGCGUGGAUUAUCUGCCCUGAGGUGUGGGAUAACCAGGGGAAACUCUGGCUAAUACCGCAUGAUACCGAGAGGUCAAAGGGGGCUCGCAAGGGCUCUCGCCAUAGGAGGAGUCCGCGUUCGAUUAGCUAGUUGGUAGGGUAAUGGCCUACCAAGGCGACGAUCGGUAGCCGGCCUGAGAGGGUGAUCGGCCACACUGGAACUGAGACACGGUCCAGACUCCUACGGGAGGCAGCAGUGGGGAAUUUUGCGCAAUGGGCUAACGCCUGACGCAGCAACGCCGCGUGGAGGAUGAAGGUCCUUGGAUUGUAAACUCCUGUCAGCAGGGAAAAAGCGACUUAGCCUAAUACGCUAGGGAGUUGAUUGUACCUGCAGAGGAAGCCCCGGCUAACUCUGUGCCAGCAGCCGCGGUAAUACAGAGGGGGCAAGCGUUAUUCGGAAUUAUUGGGCGUAAAGGGCGCGUAGGCGGCUUGGCAAA